UUAAAACAAUAGACCUUAUGCUAAACUCAAUUAAUCAAUUUACAUUAAAUAAAAACUAACUUGAAAGAAGAAUUAGGGUUCUUCUUGUGGCUAUCAGACUUCACGUUCCUCUUCUCCUCAAACUCACAUUCAAACGCGACGGCGCCGAUAACACAUCUCCGGCGAGAAUCUCUUUGCUUCUUCCCUCUGAUUCAAUUGCUCAAUAAUCCCCUUCACAUCUCCGUUCUCAAUCUCUUAUCAUCGCGACGGAGGCUUCAGAACCUAUCCUCACAAAACGCGAGCGGCGCACGGUGGAGGAAGCUUCUUCUCCGACUAGACGCGCACCGUCGUUUAUGACCGCAACACCAUAUUAAUCUCGCUCUUCCUUCUUAGUAUCAAUUUUCCUUUUGGAGAUUUGCGAAGUUCUUGAAGGAUUGAAGUAAUGGAUCGUGAGGAUGAUGAAGAUUCGUUGUUAUUCUUUGCCGAUUUGUGUCAUGGAGGUUAUGGUAAUUUGGAUCGUGAAUGAAAGUGAAGAAGAUUGAAUCGAGAUUGAGCGGUUGCUUUCUGAUUCUUCUUGUUUCCCUUUUCAGAUUGAAAAGACCGAUGCAAAUUGAGAUGGAAGAUUAUCGAUGGAUAUUGAAGAGAGUUCUUUUGGUGGUGAUGAUUCUUUUUGUGCCGGUUGAUUUUGUGAUGGUGAUGCGAUGAAGAUGAAGAUUGAAGGUUGAUGUAGUGUGAAGAUUAGAGAAUGGAGGUCCUGCGAAGAUUGAGGGAGAAGAGUUAUGGAAUGGUGGAGUUGGUGAAUGAUGAGAGAUGGAAGUGAAGGAUUCAAGGGGUUCAGAGAGUGAAGAAAGAGAGGAAGAUGAGGAAUGGAGAGAUGCUCUGUUAUAUAGAGAUUUCUCAGGUAAUUGGAUUGGAGUUAAAGCUUGGGCUCAUGAUGAAGAUUAGUGGAGCUUGGCCCUUGUAGCAUAAACUUGGAUUUCUUUUUCUUUGUUCAAACUUUGAUGGAAUGUAAUGUAAUAACUCAUACUUGGUUAUUGUAUAAAUGUGGAUGAGUUUUGAAUGGUUCAAUGUCUGGUUUUCAAUGUAUUUUACUUAUAAAGCACUUUUUGGAUUCUGUAAUAAGGAAUAGUCUUUGAUGGAUGCAUAUUUGUGAAACUUUGUAAUGGAAUUGGACUUUGUCUUGAAUAGUAGUGUAUACUUUUAUGUUA